AGAGUUAUCCUCCAUUUCUCUUUUCGUCCCAUUUCUGUCUCUAUCGUUUUCUCUCUCCUUCCUAGAUCUAGGGUUUUCUCUGUCUCCUCAUGCUCCUUGAGAGAUUCACCUAGAGGAAGAUGGUUUGGUUGAGUUACACAAAUCGGCGGGGUUACGAGACCGAGGAGUGAA